rnacentral:rRNA from 1 species
AGUAGAUAAACAAGGUAACAACCUUUAAAAAUAAAGGAAAUAAGGGCGCACAGUGGAUGCCUUGGCACUA